rnacentral:rRNA from 1 species
GACGAACGCUGGCGGCGUGCCUAAUACAUGCAAGUAGAACGCUGAAGAGAGGAGCUUACUCUUCUUGGAUGAGUUGCGAACGGGUGAGUAACGCGUAGGUAACCUGCCUUGUAGCGGGGGAUAACUAUUGGAAACGAUAGCUAAUACCGCAUAACAAUGGAUGACACAUGUCAUUUAUUUGAAAGGGGCAAUUGCUCCACUACAAGAUGGACCUGCGUUGUAUUAGCUAGUAGGUGAGGUAAUGGCUCACCUAGGCGACGAUACAUAGCCGACCUGAGAGGGUGAUCGGCCACACUGGGACUGAGACACGGCCCAGACUCCUACGGGAGGCAGCAGUAGUGAAUCUUCGGCAAUGGGGGCAACCCUGACCGAGCAACGCCGCGUGAGUGAAGAAGGUUUUCGGAUCGUAAAGCUCUGUUGUAAGUCAAGAACGGGUGUGAGAGUGGAAAGUUCACACUGUGACGGUAGCUUACCAGAAAGGGACGGCUAACUACGUG